rnacentral:rRNA from 1 species
GUGGGGAAUCUUAGACAAUGGGCGCAAGCCUGAUCUAGCCAUGCCGCGUGAGUGAUGAAGGCCCUAGGGUUGUAAAGCUCUUUCAGCUGGGAAGAUAAUGACGGUACCAGCAGAAGAAGCCCCGGCUAACUCCGUGCCAGCAGCCGCGGUAAUACGGAGGGGGCUAGCGUUGUUCGGAAUUACUGGGCGUAAAGCGCGCGUAGGCGGACUGAAAAGUUGGGGGUGAAAUCCCGGGGCUCAACCUCGGAACUGCCUUCAAAACUAUCAGUCUGGAGUUCGAGAGAGGUGAGUGGAAUUCCGAGUGUAGAGGUGAAAUUCGUAGAUAUUCGGAGGAACACCAGUGGCGAAGGCGGCUCACUGGCUCGAUACUGACGCUGAGGUGCGAAAGCGUGGGGAGCAAACAGGAUUAGAUACCCGUGUAGUCC